rnacentral:rRNA from 1 species
GUUGUAUGGUUAAGUGACUAAGCGUACACGGUGGAUGCCUUGGCAGUCAGAGGCGAUGAAAGACGUAGUAACUUGCGAUAAGCCCAGAUUAGGUAGUAACAACCAUUUGAGUCUGGGAUUUCUGAAUGGGGAAACCCACGUGCAUAAGCACGUAUCCUUACCUGAAUACAUAGGGUAAGGAGGCGAACCGGGGGAACUGAAACAUCUAAGUACCCCGAGGAAAAGAAAUCAACCGAGAUUCCGAAAGUAGCGGCGAGCGAAAUUGGACUAGCCCUUAAGCUUUACACGCGUUAGACGAACGGUCUGGAAAGUCCGACGAUACAGGGUGAUAGUCCCGUAGUUGACGACGUGUGUUCAGUGAAAUCGAGUAGGGCGGGACACGUGAUAUCCUGUCUGAAUAUGGGGGGACCAUCCUCCAAGGCUAAAUACUACUGACUGACCGAUAGUGAACCAGUACCGUGAGGGAAAGGCGAAAAGAACCCCUGUGAGGGGAGUGAAAUAGAACCUGAAACCGUGUACGUACAAGCAGUAGGAGCAGGCUUGUCCUGUGACUGCGUACCUUUUGUAUAAUGGGUCAGCGACUUAUAUUCAGUGGCAAGGUUAACCAUCUAGGGGAGCCGUAGGGAAACCGAGUCUUAACUGGGCGUUCAGUCUCUGGAUAUAGACCCGAAACCAGGUGAUCUAGCCAUGGGCAGGUUGAAGGUUGAGUAACAUCAACUGGAGGACCGAACCGACUAAUGUUGAAAAAUUAGCGGAUGACUUGUGGCUAGGGGUGAAAGGCCAAUCAAACCUGGAGAUAGCUGGUUCUCCCCGAAAGCUAUUUAGGUAGCGCCUCGGACGAAUACUACUGGGGGUAGAGCACUGUUAAGGCUAGGGGGUCAUCCCGACUUACCAACCCUUUGCAAACUCCGAAUACCAGUAAGUACUAUCCGGGAGACACACGGCGGGUGCUAACGUCCGUCGUGGAGAGGGAAACAACCCAGACCGCCAGCUAAGGUCCCAAAUUACUACUAAGUGGGAAACGAUGUGGGAAGGCUCAGACAGCCAGGAUGUUGGCUUAGAAGCAGCCAUCAUUUAAAGAAAGCGUAAUAGCUCACUGGUCGAGUCGGCCUGCGCGGAAGAUGUAACGGGGCUAAGUAGUAAACCGAAGCUGCGGCAAUAUACUUUUGUAUAUUGGGUAGGGGAGCGUUCUGUAAGCGGUUGAAGGUGUGUGGUAACGCAUGCUGGACGUAUCAGAAGUGCGAAUGCUGACAUGAGUAACGAUAAAGGGGGUGAAAAACCUCCUCGCCGGAAGACCAAGGGUUCCUGUCCAACGUUAAUCGGGGCAGGGUAAGUCGACCCCUAAGGCGAGGCCGAAAGGCGUAGUCGAUGGGAAACGGGUUAAUAUUCCCGUACUUCUUACAAUUGCGAUGGGGGGACGGAGAAGGCUAGGUGGGCCUGGCGACGGUUGU